UUCCCCUAGUAACGGCGAGUGAAGCGGGAAGAGCUCAAAUUUGUAAUCUGGCGGCCUUUGGCCGUCCGAGUUGUAGUCUCGAGAAGCGUUUUCUGCGCCGGACCGUGUACAAGUCCCUUGGAACAGGGCGUCACAGAGGGUGAGAAUCCCGUCUUUGACACGGACUGCCGGUGCUUUGUGAUGCGCUCUCAAAGAGUCGAGUUGUUUGGGAAUGCAGCUCAAAACGGGUGGUAAAUUCCAUCUAAAGCUAAAUAUUGGCGAAAGACCGAUAGCGAACAAGUACCGUGAGGGAAAGAUGAAAAGCACUUUGGAAAGAGAGUUAAACAGUACGUCAAAUUGCUGAAAGGGAAACGCUUGAAGUCAGUCGCGUCUCCCGGGACUCAGCCGUGCCCCCAUUCGGGGGGGUGUACUUUCUGGGUAUGACGGGCCCACAUUGAUUUUGGGCCGUCGGAGAAAGGGUUGGGGAAUGGGGCACCUUUGGGUGUGUUAUAACCCUGGGUCGCAUGCCAAGGGUGGGAAUCAAGGACCGCAACACGUUCUUCCUUUUGCAAAGGGGGCUUGGGGGUUCGCCACGCAAACCUUGCUUAAGAUGCUUGGCGUAAUGGCUUUAAACGAACCCGUUUUG
rnacentral:rRNA from 1 species